rnacentral:rRNA from 1 species
ACGGGUGAGUAACGCGUGGGUAACCUGCCUUAUACAGGGGGAUAACACAGGGAAACUUGUGCUAAUACCGCAUAAAACUAUCGGGUGGCAUCAUCUGAUGGUCAAAGGAGUCAAAUCCGGUAUAAGAUGGACCCGCGUCCGAUUAGCUAGUUGGAGGUGUAACGGACCACCAAGGCGACGAUCGGUAGCCGAACUGAGAGGCUGAUCGGCCACAUUGGGACUGAGACACGGCCCAGACUCCUACGGGAGGCAGCAGUGGGGAAUAUUGCGCAAUGGGGGAAACCCUGACGCAGCAACGCCGCGUGAAGGAUGAAGGUUUUCGGAUUGUAAACUUCUUUAGUCGGGGACGAAUAAAUGACGGUACCCGAAGAAUAAGCCACGGCUAACUACGUGCCAGCAGCCGCGGUAAUACGUAGGUGGCAAGCGUUGUCCGGAAUUACUGGGUGUAAAGGGCGUGUAGGCGGGAAUGUAAGUCAGAUGUGAAAUUCCGGGGCUCAACCCCGGCGCUGCAUCUGAAACUAUAUUUCUUGAGUGCUGGAGAGGAAAGCGGAAUUCCUAGUGUAGCGGUGAAAUGCGU